AUUGCGUUUCUGCUAUGAGGCUGGAGCGAGGGAAGAGAGUUCCCAUAGAGGUCUGAGAGCUAAAGGAGUGAGCCAGCAGACAUUCUGAGGACUUCAAGCCCAGGACACAGCACCUCAGAUAACGCUGAGAAACUGUUCCAAAGAGGCAAGCAGGGGAGCCAGGAUAUAUAGAAGUUUUUGCAGCAAAAGACCAGAGCUAUUUUGUUCAUGGUAACUUCUAUAAACCUGGAGCCCAAUGUUUCUAAUGAUUGAAGAGGAGAUAGUCGCCAGUAUAGACAUGUUACUGACUGUUACCUGGGUUACAUUUGCCAGGAGACUGGAGGCCCUCUGCUUACACGGAUUUUAUGGACACAGCCAACCAGUGGAGAAGCUGAAUACAUGAAAAUUCAAAUUAUAAAAAAGAAAAACU